AGUGAACGCUGGCGAUAGGCCUAACACAUGCAAGUCGAACGGCAGCACAGUAAGAGCUUGCUCUUACGGGUGGCGAGUGGCGGACGGGUGAGGAAUACAUCGGAAUCUACUUUUUCGUGGGGGAUAACGUAGGGAAACUUACGCUAAUACCGCAUACGACCUACGGGUGAAAGCAGGGGAUCUUCGGACCUUGCGCGAUUGAAUGAGCCGAUGUCGGAUUAGCUAGUUGGCGGGGUAAAGGCCCACCAAGGCGACGAUCCGUAGCUGGUCUGAGAGGAUGAUCAGCCACACUGGAACUGAGACACGGACCAGACUCCUACGGGAGGCAGCAGUGGGGAAUAUUGGACAAUGGGCGCAAGCCUGAUCCAGCCAUACCGCGUGGGUGAAGAAGGCCUUCGGGUUGUAAAGCCCUUUUGUUGGGAAAGAAAAGCAGCAGGUUAAUACCCCGCUGUUCUGACGGUACCCAAAGAAUAAGCACCGGCUAACUUCGUG
rnacentral:rRNA from 1 species